GAUGAACGCUGGCGGCGUGCCUAAUACAUGCAAGUCGAGCGAACGGACGAGAAGCUUGCUUCUCUGAUGUUAGCGGCGGACGUGUGAGUAACACGUGGAUAACCUACCUAUAAGACUGGGAUAACUUCGGGAAACCGGAGCUAAUACCGGAUGAUAUUUUGAACCGCAUGGUUCAAAAGUGAAAGAAGGUCUUGCUGUCACUUAUAGAUGGAUCCGCGCUGCAUUAGCUAGUUGGUAAGGUAACGGCUUACCAAGGCUACGAUGCAUAGCCGACCUGAGAGGGGGAUCGGCGACACGGGAACGGGGACGGGGUCAAGGGGACUGCGAGAGGGAGCAGAAGGGAACCUGACGCAGUAGGCGAGAGCCUGGCGGAGCGAGGGGGAGCGAGAGGUGAAGGUGUUGGGAGCGGGAAGACCGGUUAUGAGGGGAAAACAUAUGUGGAAGGAACUGUAGAGAGAGUGACGGUACCUGAUAAGAAAGCCACGGCUAACUACGUG
rnacentral:rRNA from 1 species